GAAAUAAUGUGUCAUGUCAUUUAAAAGGUUAAUGAAAAUGUAAAGUGGAAGCUUUAAUACUGUCUCAAUACAAAUAAAACUGUUUUUGAGAGAAACUCAUCUGGGUUAGGGUGGCUUGCUUGAAAAUUCUCCUGGCUGUCGGUCAUCUCUGAAUAAUUAUUUCACUCCUCUGAUUUUAACCAAGGAAACUCAACUUGAGGCAAAGGUCUUUAUAUGAUGAUUCAAGAGGUUUAGGAAAGCAGGACUCACUAGGGUAAAGACUGUGAAAAUUACUAUCUUGCCAGCAAUGGAACAUCUCUUUGGCUACCACCCUACCUAAAACUUGAUUGAAUCCAAACAUGAGCUGAACUUUCCUGCUAUUUUAAUUCACAGCACACUGUACUACAUAACUGGAUCUUUCAAAAGCAGGUGCUACAUGUAUACAGAAAGAAAUGCAUACCUUCUGUUGCCUCUCAAAAUCCAUUAUGCUAAACUCACCAAAUAUGUUAGAAUAUGUUAAAUGUUUUGAUCCUUGUGUUUUUUCAGUCUCCACUAAUCAUUUUGCUGAAUUGUCUACUACCCUCCUAUUGAACAGGAAUUAGCUAAUUCAUUUCUUGAAUGGCAUUACAGUUCUUGUAAAUAACCUCUUUGUCCAUCUCUAUUUUUCAGCUGGCAGAACUUUAAUUACAAAGGUAUAUAAAUUAUACUAUUUUAAUGUUCUUUUGGUCUUUCGACAUAAGCAUUUGCUUUCAUACAUAAGCAGAUAUUUUGUAUACCUACCAGACCACUAAAAAGCUAAAUGGCAAGAAUGAGUAUUUCUGGAAACUUAUAAAAAUCUUAAUGCAAUGAGACAGGUUUAACCAAUGCCAAGAAAGAAAAGGUAGACUCCUUACUUUUAUAAUUCAACUUUCUAUUUUGUAUCAGUAUAUGCUGUAUUUUCUGACUGAAACUGCUGUUCUAAUGAAACUUGUGAUUUUCUGUAGUUUGCUUUAUACAUUUGAAACCAAACUUUCAUACAGUGUGCUUGAUUGUAUACCCUUUCUGUUAGGGAUUUGAUUAAAUAUCGUAACCAUUUCCUUAAUUCCUUUUUACAUGCUUAAAGUAUUUGACGUUAGGCUGUCUCAAAAAUGAUCUCUGGACAAAAUCCAUGAAGCCUGUAGACUGUGAUUUAUACACAUGGAAGAAAUAGGUUUUCCUCUUAGCAGUGAAUCAGUGACUAAGAAGCGGUUCAGUGUCUUCUGAUUCCUGACCCUUCUACCCUUCAUGGCCUUUUUUCUAUUCAUCACUCAUUGAGUAAUCGUGUAUUCUUCUAAAAUGCAAACUCAACUUCAUGCAAUCAGGUAUGGACACAAGAAAUGCUUGUGCUCUCGAUUUCAGGACUAACAGUCUCAUACCCUAGCUGUCACGGGACUGUAGUUUACUCAAUAUUUUGUUAAUAAUGUGGCUUUGCUAUAAAAUAAGUUGCUGUUUGCUUUGCUUUGGUACUACAAGGUUUUCAAUGUUGCAGCAAAUGAAAGGAAGAAACCAUGUUUGAAGGCUGGUGUCAAAAACCAUCAGCUAUACUUAACAAAAGCCGUCGUGCAGCUUCUGAAAUGUAGUUUACUGCUGUAAAUAUGUACAAUUUAUGUUAGCCUGUUAAUUCCUAAAACACAAAUAAAACUUUUUUUAUUAAAAAUGCCUACAUAUAAAAAGUUUACUUUGUA
rnacentral:lncRNA from 1 species